rnacentral:misc_RNA from 1 species
ACGGUCAAGGCUUCCGCCGCAGCAGCAUCACCUGCCUCUUCUACUUCUUCUGCGCAGCCAUGGCAUGGCGCGGCUAUCAAGCCAUUACUUGCGUCAAUAGCUACAGGUGUCAUUCUCUGGUUCGUUCCUGUUCCAUCUGGAGUCUCGCGACCUGCUUGGCAGCUACUAGCUAUUUUUCUCGCCACUAUUGUGGGCAUCAUCACGCAACCUUUGCCUCUCGGCGCCGUCGCCUUGAUGGGCCUAGGUGCUUCAGUACUCACCAAAACCCUGACUUUUUCCGCCGCAUUUUCAGCUUUCGGCGAUCCGAUUCCGUGGUUAAUCGCUCUUGCUUUCUUUUUCGCUCGAGGAUUUAUUAAGACUGGACUUGGAAACCGAAUAGCUUAUCAAUUCGUAUCGUUUUUUGGAUCUUCUUCGUUAGGUUUAGGUUACAGUCUCGUGUUUAGUGAAGCUCUAUUGGCGCCUGCAAUUCCUUCGGUUUCUGCUAGAGCGGGGGGAAUCUUUUUACCAUUGGUGAAAUCAUUGUGCGUUGCUUGUGGUAGCAAUGUUGGUGAUGGUACUGAGAAUAAGCUUGGCUCCUGGUUAAUGUUAACUUGUUUCCAAACAUCAGCGAUUUCUUCUUCCAUGUUCUUGACUGCCAUGGC